GACGGAAGGUGCAAGCGUUGCUCGGAAUCACUGGGCGUAAAGGGUGCGUAGGCGGCCGCGCAAGUCUGGCGUGAAAGCCCCGGGCUCAGCCCGGGGAGGGCGCUCGAAACGGCGCGGCUCGAGUGCCGGAGGGGAGAGUGGAAUUCCUGGUGUAGCGGUGAAAUGCGCAGAUAUCAGGAGGAACACCGGUGGCGAAGGCGGGUCUCUGGGCCGAUACUGACGCUGAGGAGCGAAAGCGUGGGGAGCGAACAGG
rnacentral:rRNA from 1 species